GACUCCCAGUCAAGGUUGAAUUUCAGAUAAAUAAUAAACAGCUUUUUAAGUAUAAGUAUGUCCCAGGCUAUAUUUGGGACAUGCUUAUGCUAAAAAUUUAUUUGUUGUUUAUCUGAACAGUCAACAUCCCACAUUUU
rnacentral:miRNA from 14 species